GAAGCCCGCCAGACUGCCGCUGGUGCAAUCUGGGAAACCAGGCACUGGAGGAACGUCCGGACUGCAUAGGGCAGCGUAGCAGCUAACAGCUGUCCACUGAAAGCCCGCCGCGCAAGUGGUGGGUAUAAGGUGAGGAUUAGAGCAACAGAGACGAGCCGAUUCAGUUCGGGUGAAACGGGCAAUCUCUACGCGCAGCAAUACCAAGUAGGCCAGCGUUGAUGGGGCCCCCAGAGCUGGCGGGUAGGUAGCACCGAGCCGUUGGGUGACCAACGGCCCAGAUUAAUGGCAGUCACUUCUGCAGGCCCGCAAGGACCUGCCGUUGCACAGAAUCCGGCUUAUCGGUGGGCUUCACAC
rnacentral:RNase_P_RNA from 1 species